GAUUAUGAUGCCUUUUAAUGCCUGAAUACCCAUCCCAUCUGAUCAUGGAAGCUAAGCAGAAUCUUUUCCGGUGAGUACUUGGAUGGGAAACUGCCAAUGAAUACCAGAUACUGUAGUUU
rnacentral:rRNA from 1 species